rnacentral:rRNA from 1 species
CCCUACGGGAGGCAGCAGUGGGGAAUAUUGGACAAUGGGCGCAAGCCUGAUCCAGCAAUGCCGCGUGUGUGAAGAAGGCCUGAGGGUUGUAAAGCACCUUCAAUUGUGAAGAAAAGUUUAAGGUUAAUAACCUUAAACCCUGACGUUAACUUUAGAAGAAGCACCGGCUAACUCCGUGCCAGCAGCCGCGGUAAUACGGAGGGUGCGAGCGUUAAUCGGAAUUACUGGGCGUAAAGCGUACGUAGGUGGCUUGAUAAGUCGGAUGUGAAAGCCCUGGGCUCAACCUGGGAACUGCAUUCGAUACUGUCUGGCUAGAGUAUAGUAGAGGGAAGUGGAAUUCCGGGUGUAGCGGUGAAAUGCGUAGAUAUCCGGAGGAACACCAGUGGCGAAGGCGGCUUCCUGGACUAAUACUGACACUGAGGUACGAAAGCGUGGGGAGCAAACAGGAUUAGAUACCCUGGUAGUCCACGCCCUAAACGAUGUCAACUAGCCGUUGGAGGAAUUUAAUCCUUUAGUAGCGCAGCUAACGCGAUAAGUUGACCGCCUGGGGAGUACGGUCGCAAGAUUAAAACUCAAAGGAAUUGACGG